rnacentral:rRNA from 1 species
AGUAAUUUUGAAUUUGUGAGUAGAAUCAGUGUUUUUCUGGCUAUAUCCUCACAGGUUCUUUUGAGGGCUGUAGGGAGAAUAGGAUUAGAGACCCUAGUAUCGAGUCAUGACUAUUUUGUGGCUUCUUAGUUUAAACUAAAAAAAUUUGGCAGCCGAUGACACUCUUCCGGGGGAGCGUGUGACGUAAGAGAUGAUCCGCUUAAGUCUUUACCACUUCUAUUUUAGGUUAGUGUACGUCCGGUUUUAUACCUUUGAUUAGUAUCUUUAGGUGAAUUUCGGUUGAUUAAGGCCAGGU